rnacentral:lncRNA from 1 species
GAGUCUCUUUUAAGGUUGUGAUAUCGAAUGUCUUAUAUUUCACAAUCUAUUUAAGAAAGAAUAUGAUAUUCUUGAAGGCCUUUAUUUCUAUUGCAUUGUCUUGAAGGUUGUGAUAAUCACAAUGACUUAUGUGAUAAGUCAGCAAACAAUAAUUUUUAAUUAGAAUUUAUUGAUUAUUGGUUCUCUAUCUUAUUAAUACCAUUAAUAUAAAAUAAUAAAAUAAUAAAAAAUAAAACAUGGAAUGUAAUCUUUAUUGAAUAACUUUUCUUUUAUACUAAGAAAUUGUUUGAUUUUUCAACUUAGUUUUGAUAGAUGUUGUUGAUAAAAAAUUUUGACCUUCUCUAUUACAUUUACAAGAUUCUUAAUUGACUUUUAUA